AUUAGUGGCGACGGGUGAGUAACACGUGGGCAAUCUGCCCUUCACUCUGGGACAAGCCCUGGAAACGGGGUCUAAUACCGGAUAACACUCUGUCCCGCAUGGGACGGGGUUAAAAGCUCCGGCGGUGAAGGAUGAGCCCGCGGCCUAUCAGCUUGUUGGUGGGGUAAUGGCCUACCAAGGCGACGACGGGUAGCCGGCCUGAGAGGGCGACCGGCCACACUGGGACUGAGACACGGCCCAGACUCCUACGGGAGGCAGCAGUGGGGAAUAUUGCACAAUGGGCGAAAGCCUGAUGCAGCGACGCCGCGUGAGGGAUGACGGCCUUCGGGUUGUAAACCUCUUUCAGCAGGGAAGAAGCGAAAGUGACGGUACCUGCAGAAGAAGCGCCGGCUAACUACGUGCCAGCAGCCGCGGUAAUACGUAGGGCGCAAGCGUUGUCCGGAAUUAUUGGGCGUAAAGAGCUCGUAGGCGGCUUGUCACGUCGGAUGUGAAAGCCCGGGGCUUAACCCCGGGUCUGCAUUCGAUACGGGCUAGCUAGAGUGUGGUAGGGGAGAUCGGAAUUCCUGGUGUAGCGGUGAAAUGCGCAGAUAUCAGGAGGAACACCGGUGGCGAAGGCGGAUCUCUGGGCCAUUACUGACGCUGAGGAGCGAAAGCGUGCGGAGCGAACAGGAUUAGAUACCCUGGUAGUCCACGCCGUAAACGUUGGGAACUAGGUGUUGGCGACAUUCCACGUCGUCGGUGCCGCAGCUAACGCAUUAAGUUCCCCGCCUGGGGAGUACGGCCGCAAGGCUAAACUCAAGGAAUUUGACGGGGCCGCACAGCAGCGGAGCAUGUGGCUUA
rnacentral:rRNA from 1 species